UGAACUUACAAGUGAAAAAAGAAUGAAAAAUGUUAACUCAGUUAACAAACCUCUGGUAACCACCCACUUGGUAUCACAUCUUCUGGGUGCUUGGGAUGUAUCCCACAUGAGAGUGAUGACAGCAGGUGACCAGAAGUGCCUAUUUUCUCUCAAGUCAGGUUGGCCAUGGGCUAGGUACAGACUUGUGCCUCCAUCCACAGCCAGGCUUCUCUAGGGGAUAGAAAAUUGCCAUUAAAUUACCAUAGUUCCCAGGAGGCAAAGGAACUUGUGGAAAGUACACAGCUUGCAGAAUAACCUGCUGCCCCAGCUGCCCACGGGGGGCCUUCACGUGCCACUGUGGCCCCAGUGCAACCUGGACGUUUGAAGACAUAGACAAUUAAGUGAGGUCAGGAUCAGAGUGAAAGCUUCACGUUGAAGGCCCUGUUUCACGAAAUGAUUCACCUAUGGGGCUGUCACAGAUGUCAAGGAGAGGGUUCCUUCCAGGGGAGGGAAUGCAUUAGGAAAACACCUCACUGGAAAUAUUGUCAACAUCCUGACAGGUGUGUGCAGGGGCCAAAUACAAUAGAUACGGAAGGAGAGAUGCCUUGUUCUCGGAGACAAAGUCCUUUUCUUGUGAUUGCCUAAAGAACAGCUCUAAGGUGGGGGCAGAAACAUCCAAAGGUGUUUCUUGGGUUUUAUGGCCCUUAGAAGAAAGGGCCUUCAUGAGAUGCCCUCGCUUUGUGCUGGUCUCCCACAGAGAAGGUUCGCCAAUUUUCAGAUUCUCAAAUUCCCCAUGAAAGAAGUUAUUUUUGUCAGAGAGGGAAUUGUAAGUGGGUCCUUGAAGUCAAAUCCACCAUUGUUGUUCUCCUUUGACCUGGCCCUGGCAGCGACGCUGCAGAAAGACAUGAUUGAAGAAGGGGCAGGAGAUCUUAGCACCAGAGCCGUUUGUCUUAGAAGAAAGCAGGUUGGUAAUGAUUUUCAAUUAGAAAAGGUUUAUUGGAGAGACUAUCCUCCUUCACCUAGUUAGAAACUUCAUGGAGUGUGGGUGAAACCAAAAGUCAGGGGGAAUAGGAAUCCUGCUUUUCCACUGAACACAAAAUCGCCUGCAAUUUCUAUGACUUUCUUAUGUGCUCUAAGUAGGGUCAAUUAUUUUGGUAACCACUAUUUAGCCCCAGGACUUGAAUAGCAAUUGUAUUUGCUCGUUGUUCCAUUUAGCUGUGUUUCAGAAGAAAUAAGUGCUUCAGACCUGGGAAUUGCUUGUGGCUGAUUAAGAAAUCGCUUAGAUGCCUGAAUUAAUCUGUGUGGUGUCUGCUAG
rnacentral:lncRNA from 1 species